GUCAUACCGUUUCUGUUUUUUUUUUUUUUGGGUAUCCUUCAUCUAUUCUACAGGAGUUGUUGAAGCUUCCAUAGAUGCGAUGUCAACAAAAAUAGACCUCUCACUCUCCCGACCCAACCGCAUCUAUCGCCCCUCCGAGCCUCUUGAAGGCAAAAUCUUGGUGAAGUCUGCAUCUUCCAUUUCUCACUAUGGAAUUCGCAUGGCCAUCAACGGCUCAGUCAACCUCCAGGUUCGGGGAGGAUCGGCAGGAGUCAUCGAGUCCUUUUAUGGUGUUGUCAAACCAAUUACCAUCCUGAGUAGGACCCUUGAGAUUAGACCAUCUGGGAAAAUUGUUUCAGGUACAACAGAGAUACCUUUCUCUAUAACUCUGCGGAAUCCUAAAGAAGAUAAUUCAGAAAGGUUUUAUGAGACCUUCCAUGGAACCAAUAUUAGCAUCCAGUAUUUGGCAACUGUAGAUAUAAUGAGAGGAUACCUGCACAAAUCAUUAUCUGCUACAGUGGAAUUCAUAGUAGAAAGUGAUAAAGCUGAUCUUCUUAAUCCACCAAUUUCUCCUGAGAUGGUUAUCUUUUACAUUACUCAGGACACUCAAAGACAUCCUAUACUUCCAGAACUGAAAUCAGGUGGCUUUCGUAUCACAGGAAGAAUAUCCACGCAAUGUUCGAUGCUUGAACCUCUCAGUGGAGAACUAACAGUGGAAGCAUCUGUGCUUCCCAUUUGUUCUAUUGACAUUCACUUACUUCGUGUAGAGUCAGUUCUUCUUGGGGAAAAAAUCAUCACUGAAACUUCUUUGAUACAGACUACACAGAUAGCAGAUGGAGAUGUCUGUCGCAAUAUGACUUUGCCAAUAUAUGUUGUAUUACCCCGUCUUUUGACUUGUCCAACUGUUUUAGCCGGUCCAUUCUCUAUCGAAUUCAAAGUUGCAAUAGUCAUCUUCUUUCAGUCUGAAUUAUCCAGAUUACAUCCAAAAUCUGAUCCACUAACUCCAAGAUUAUGGAUGGCAAUGGAAACUCUCCCACUUGAACUUGUUCGAGCAAGGGAAAGAUGAAGUCAAUUGGUUAAUUGUGCGGAUAGAGUUGGUCUUCUGUCUUAAACUUUUUGUUUCAUUUUUAGUUUGGGCCUUGUGCAUCUCGGACUAUGGAAAGUCGAAGGUUUUCUAUGAUCUACUUCAUAAGAACUGAAUUGUUUGGGUAAAAAUAAAUAUAUGCUAUGCAGGCCUUAUGCAUCUUGGACUGUAGAAAGCUGAAGGUUUUCUAUGAUCUACUACAUAAGAACUGAGCAGUGUAGGCUGGGAACCACCAGGAACCGUAGGAAGGUAAUUGGACAUUGGAACUAUUUAGUAGUUAUCAUAGUUUCUUAAUGAUGAAAUGAAAUGACCUUUUACCACUGAUUUCCCUUGGUAUAUAUAACAAUAAACACUGUAUUGCUUAAGCAUGUAGAGAAAUGGACCAUAUCUCAGAACUCAUUAGCAGCUGAAAUUGUUAUUUUAAUUAAUUUAUGUUUGUGCAGUUUGUUGAAAAUAAAAAAUCGACACUGUAUGUUGCAUCAUUGCAAUGUAAUAUUUUGGGUA